rnacentral:lncRNA from 1 species
CACCAGGCUGCUGGGAUCCCACCUCGGCCAUACCAGAAGCACCGAGGAGUAAGGAAGGGGCCCUGGCCCAGGGCUGACCUGGUGGAGCAGAGUGGUACUCUGGGACAGCUCCUGUUGUCCCCAUUGCUGUCCAGGCCCGCCUGGCCCGCAGCUCUGCAAGGGACCCAGGGACACAGCGGGGGGCCACAGGUAGGGGCCAGGCUCAGUGGGCAUCAGGGGCCAGAGCCGCCACGAAGCUCAUCUGGUCUAAGGACCUUCCCAGAGCCAGAACCGCACCAAGUAAGGCCGCACUGCCUCUGACCGGCUUUGUCGCCGACCGCAGAAGCACAACAAAAUUCUCCAAGUUUUCCCUGUCAGCGUAGAGUAAGGCCACUUGUGCAUCUGUGUUAAAGGACACAAGGAGCAGCACUGUCCUCAGUCCCCCCCAGGAACCUCCAACUGAGGCAGGGGGCUGGCAGCUCCCAAGUGGUCACAGAGGCCGGCAAUGUGCUGGGCAGGCCCCGGGCACUCACUCGCACUGGGCAAGUGAUUGUGGCUCGCAAAUAAUUUCGGAUUUUGAAAAAAAUAAAUAUAAAUAAAUAUACUCCAAGAACUCUUGUUAAGGGGAAAAAAUGGCAAAGAGAAAAAAUUUCCCAGGUAUAAAGACGUUAACAUAUCCACAAAGAAACCUCUGAGAAACCUUGUGGAAAGAAGAGGGAAAGGCAAGGGGGCCCAGGGCCCGAGGCACUUAGAGGAGCAGCGCUCAGCGUGGAGGGUGUGGGCCACGGGGGAGAGGAGCCCAGGCUGGGCCAGGCCUUGGGGCAGCGGCAGCGCUGGCCCUGGAGGAAGGAAAGGCACUAAUUAUGAUUAUGUUUUAAAUUAAGAGGUUAACGGCAUCACCAGAGGAGAAAAAAAGAGCAACAGCAGCCCCAAGGUGGGGCCACCCCAGGCCCAGGCCCCUCGCUCCCCACCAUCCCGGACCACUCUGGGCUUCCAGAACCUUCCACCUUGUAGCUUGGCUGAGACUUCGCCUUCCUCUCUGGGGAGAGAGAAACGGGAGGAGAUCAGCGGCCCUGUGUCGUUGUGCAAAAACCUUCCUGACCUGGUCCCCAGGGAGCAGGCUGACGCCCCUGUAGGGCUGUCCCCGCAAAGGCUCGAUGGGGCCCCCGCUCAGCUGGCCCAGGACUUGCGGUUCUCCGGGCUCCUGUGGCUGCGCUCAACCCGCAGCGCAGCGCCCUCGCCCUUGGCUAGAGCCGCCGUCAGCGACGCCAGGUUGGUGGCAGAGCCGGAGAGAGUGGCGCUCCGGCGGGGUUCGGGGCCACCCUGCAGCCGGAGACCCGCGCUGCGCCGCCGGCCCGGGCCCGCCGCCCUGCGCACGCGGCCCGGCCUCACGAGCAGCCCAUAGCCCGGGUUGCACUUGAAGUACUGCUUCCCGCCGAUGGAGCCGUCGUUCUUUCCUGCGGGGAGAAAAAAGAGGAUGUGCAGGUGGCUUCCCGCCCCGCUUCCCCCGCCAUGCACCCCAGUCCACGCUGUUCCCCUGGGAACCAGCAGGCCAGGCGGCACUUCUGGGCAGCUCCGGUGGUCACUGCAGACGCACCUGCGGCCUCACGCACAGUCCAGGCCUUACCACUCCUAACACCCACGUGCCACCCAAGCAGAGCCCAAGCCGCCGCCACCCACUGCCAGUGUGGACAGUAGAAGUGCAAACCUAGGAUGGAUGUGCUUGGUGAAAUGAUUAAAGUUCCUAAAUCAGAGUUCCCGUCGUGGCGCAGUGGUUAACGAAUCCGACUAGGAACCAUGAGGUUGCGGGUUCGGUCCCUGCCCUUGCUCAGUGGGUUAACGAUCCAGCGUUGCCGUGAGCUGUGGUGUAGGUUGCAGACGCGGCUCGGAUCCCGCGUUGCUGUGGCUCUGGCGUAGGCCGGUGGCUACAGCUCCGAUUCGACCCCUAGCCUGGGAACCUCCAUAUGCCGAGGGAGCGGCCCAAGAAAUAGCAACAACAACAACAACAACAACAAAAGUUCCUAAAUCUAUUAAAUGGAAACUGGCAAAUUACCCAAGUGUAGCUAGUGAGAUGUCUUGUCAUGCUGGGUGUGUCCAGACCGGGUGAACGUUUACUCUGUAAAAGCCAAGUGCUUUAAGGGUGUAGGAUGAGAAGACCGCCCUGGGGGUGGGGCCUUGGUCCCUAAGUGCCCAGAGCCCAUGGCCAUGAGCUAGUGGGAAACAGGAUCUUUACAGCAAAAACAAUCCGGAAUUGUCCACAUGCACUGUCUGCACCGCCCAGCCUGCCCUCCUCUCUUUCUCCAGCUCCUCUCGGGGUCAGCAAGGGUUACAUGGUCCACCUCCUGAGGUCUCUAACAGGCGACCUCUCCUGCUGUCCGGCCACUGCCACCACUCGGCUCCCGGGACAUGCUUCCACAUCCCAUCUUACCGCUCCUUGCCUCCUGCCUCAUGCGGGGCUGUGUGGCCCUGCCCUGACCCUUGGGGGUUUGUCUACCCAGCCGAAGCUCCGGGAACCCGAUGCCUCUCAGCUGUGUGUCCACCCGCCAUCCAACCUGCACUCCAGCACCACCUCCCGCCCUCACCCACCUUCCUAUAUCAUCAAGGGCACAGCCACAACCUUGCUCUCAGGCCACAUUCUGACAUAGGCAGAUCCCUUCUUCUCUGAUGCUCCACCAUCCCUUAGUCCUGUCCAGCAUCACCCUGUUCCUCCUGAUUCUAACCACUGCUCACCAUGUCCAUGCUGCCCCCUCUCCCAACCAGGACAUCUGACAGCCUCCUACGUGGCCCUCCUGUUUCCACUCUUCACACCAGGUCUAAUCCCCUAAGUAAAAAUCACCUUUCAAACAAAAAGAAUUCCCACCAUGGUGCAGCGGAAAACGAAUGCAACUAGGAACCAUGAGGUUGAGGGUUCGAUCCCUGGCCUCGCUCAUGGGUUAAGAUCCGGCGUUGCCAUGAGCUGUGGUGUAGGUUGCAGACGCAGCUCGGAUCCUGCAUUGCUGUGGCUUUCGCGUAGGCUGGCAGCUACAGCUCCAAUUAGACCCCUAGCCUGGGAACCUCCAUAUGCUGCAGGAGCGGCCCAAAGAAAUAGCAAAAAGACAAAAAAAACAAAAAAAAA